GACAAAUUGAAAAGUUACAAAAAGAGCAAGCCAACGUUUAGAAUGGUACUUGUAAAAAGUCUACAAUAAAAAAACAAAGAAUAGUACAUGUAUAUAUGAGGUAUUCAUCCAUGACAUUAAAUCUGUUCAUUUAUCAUGUAGCUUUAUAUAGGUAAGGGGACCUAACUCUCCCAUAAAGCCACCUCUGAGAACCUUUGUACAAAAAGAACACUCUUUUAAUUCUUUAUUUCAACAUUCAAAACUAAGUGAACACAGUUUAAAAACCACAUAAAUUUCUUCAUAAAAUAUAUGUGUAUAAUAUAAAAACAUGAUGUAUGCCAAUUUAAUUAGCACUAAUUUAAUGUAUAUAAUAAAUAUUUUUGAAAUCUAUGUAUAUAUAUAAUAUAUGUUUGGAAUGUUCACAACAUGGAUAAUUUGUGAUAUCUAUGACUGAAUAAUAUAUAUGAAUUAAAUAAAUAAUUACAUCUUUUGAUUUAAGUAUUUAAGUUAUGGUCAGUUUUAAUCCUGUAUACAAUGCACAAUGGAUUCAUUUAUGUUUGUGAAUACAAAUAUUUGUG
rnacentral:lncRNA from 1 species